CCUACGGGUGGCAGCAGUAGGGAAUAUUGCACAAUGGGGGAAACCCUGAUGCAGCAACGCCGCGUGAGUGAAGAAGUUUUUCGGAUUGUAAAGCCCUAUCAGCAGGGAAGAAAAUGACGGUAUCUAACUAAUAAGCCCCGGCUAACUCCGUGCCAGCAGCCGCGGUAAUACGGAGGGGGCAAGCGUUAUCCGGAUUUACUGGGCGUAAAGAGGGCGUAGGCGGGAGAACAAGUCAGGUGUGAAAUGCUGUGGCUUAACCCCAGAACUGCAUUGGAAACUGUGCAGCUAGAGUGCAGGAGAGGUAAGUGGAAUUCUUGGUGUAGCGGUAAAAUGCGUAGAGAUCAAGAGGAAUACUAGUUGCGAAGGCGACCUACUGGAAUGUAACUGACGUUGAGGCUCGAAAGCGUGGGGAGCAAACAGGAUUAGAUACCCCUGUAGUC
rnacentral:rRNA from 1 species